rnacentral:rRNA from 1 species
GAUGAACGCUAGCGAUAGGCUUAACACAUGCAAGUCGAGGGGCAUCACGAAUUAGCAAUAGUUUGGUGGCGACCGGCGCACGGGUGCGUAACACGUAUACAACCUACCUUCAAUUGGGGGAUAACCUGGAGAAAUUCGGACUAAUAUCCCAUAGUAAACGGAAGAGGCAUCUUUUUUGUUUUAAAGAUUUAUUGAUUGGAGAUGGGUAUGCGUAGGAUUAGCUAGUUGGUAAGGUAACGG